rnacentral:rRNA from 1 species
GAUGAACGCUGGCGGCGUGCCUAAUACAUGCAAGUCGAGCGAACAGACGAGGAGCUUGCUCCUCUGACGUUAGCGGCGGACGGGUGAGUAACACGUGGAUAACCUACCUAUAAGACUGGGAUAACUUCGGGAAACCGGAGCUAAUCCCGGAUAAUAUAUUGAACCGCAUGGUUCAAUAGUGAAAGACGGUUUUGCUGUCACUUAUAGCUGGAUCCGCGCCGCAUUAGCUAGUUGGUAAGGUAACGGCUUACCAAGGCAACGAUGCGUAGCCGACCUGAGAGGGUGAUCGGCCACACUGGAACGGAGACACGGUCCAGACUCCUAAGGGAGGCAGCAGUAGGGAAUCUGCCGCAAUGGGCGAAAGCCUGACGGAGCAACGCCGCGUGAGUGAUGAAGGUCUUCGGAUCGUAAAACUCUGUUAUUAGGGAAGAACAAAUGUGUAAGUAACUAUGCACGUCUUGACGGUACCUAAUCAGAAAGCCACGGCUAACUACGUG